CAAACAGUUUCGUCUCGCGGCAGACGUGCUCGCAAAGUCGAGCAACUGACAAGAUAGGCUCGCGUGCGCCUGUGCGCGCGCGCACGCGCGCCGACUCCUGAGCUUGUGUAGCACGAGGUGAAGCAGGCACGAGGAAAAUAUCAGCUGGACCUCAUGAUUGGAUGGACGGCCCUUAACGACCUUCAGCCAUACAUCACGAGACAAUUCUGAUGAUUUGUUGCAUCAAUUGACUCUUCACAUAAUCUCAUUUGGGUUUGAAAAUGCACUCAUCCAAAGGUUCCAGUCCGGGCCUUCAUUACAGCACAGCUGCCCACACACCUUCAGAUAAAGGGAUGCGAGCGGAUGGAGAGUGCCACAUAUACUUGAGAGCAUUUUUUAAUUUCUUGGUGCUCCAUCUGUUGAAAUGAUAAAGUGCAGCCGUAAUGGAGUGCAACAAGAUUAAAUUAAUCAGACGGGUGCGGCCAGAGGGUCCUGAAGUGCAACGGAUCCGGUUGCAUAGACCACCCUUGUCUGGAUGUCGGCGGUAAGGAACACAACAACUUCCACAAGCAUAUCAUGAUGCCCAUAGAUCAUAUGAACCUGGAGAAAUGGGGAGGGGGGUGUUUAAUGGAGCCUCUCUGAUGAGUGCACGCCUAACCUCUCUUGUAUGAAUCUCAUGGCUCAGUAUAGAAGGUCACGGCCACGGGACAGAGCCUACAGGAUGUGUGCUUAACACGAGGAGAUCUCAGUCUCGUACCACAAAGCUCCCGCCGCCACUAAAGCGCAGAAAUGGCAGAACUGUCACGCUCGGCAUCUCAGAUGCUUUUCAUUCUCAGCACCGCUAUCACUUUUAUGAUUUAUGUCAUGCAGCACAGUAAAACACAACAAUGCGCCAGUGGUUUCUCUGCAUGAAGACGCUCACAUGUUUGGGGGCACCUCUGCUGAGAGCCAUCUAUCUUGAGCCACAUCUGGUUUCAAGUGAUUCUUGCGCAGUCCAACGUGGCCGAGCUUAAGGUUAUUGUGGCUAAAUGAAAAAUUACCAUAACAAAUCAGACAAUACACUUUAUUACAUUAUAUGCUGCAUUUCAUUUUGAGGUCAGGAGUUUUGUAUUAGUCUCCUCUUACAUUACAAGCAAAAUGAAACAACCCCACACCUGGAGAAAAACACAUAUUUUUGACAUGUAUAAAGGAGGAGGUGGUGUUUUUAUUUAAAUGUUGAGCUUUUUUUCUUUGUCCCCUAUUUGUGUGCAUUGAGAUUUAUGAUAACUGGUGUUUUGCUCAUGCAGGUAACAUGAGGAGCACAACAAUGAGUAUGAAUACGAUAUCAUAAAAAUAUAGAAAGGUAUACAACAUUUGGAUUGUAUAUUUACUCCUUUAGACUUAAAGCUUCAGCACACAAUACAAUCUAGGGUGUCAUCUGGUAAUUAAUUUCCAUUGGUGGGCAUUUAUAUGUUUAACUUGCAAGACAUCCAGAUAUACAAAUCCAAUAACAACCAAAUUACUAUGAUUCAUUGCUGCUGCAGUGUAGUAUAUAGCUGUGGGCUGAGAGCUUUCCUGUUGCCAAAUCAAAUACCCCUUCAGGUAUGUACAGUAAAAAAAGGAAAAGUCCAGUUCAGUCUGUCUUCUAUCAGUGGUUUUAUUGGUGAGGAAGAGUGACACAUGUUUAAAAGUGGAGCCACGUUUAAAAAAGUUUGAUAAGACAUAUAAGAAAUCAUAAAGUAGGAAAGAUUUGUAAUCCAUAGUCUUCAAAAAAGAGGUUAGAAUCUUAGAAACAGUUUUUAUCCUAAUAGGAAAAAAGCUUUUGGGGGAUGUAAUGUGUGUUAAGGUUAAAAAAGUCACAAGGAAUAUCAGAAAGGAAUUGCAUUAUUGGACCUUCUUGGACAUUCUGUAAUACGAUUUCACCGACUUACCCUCUGCAACCAGUGUCUUUAAUCUCGCUUCUCUCUGACCACCUUCUACCAGGUUUCCCCUCAUUUAUCUGUGGUUUCAUAUAAUAAUCCAGCGUCUGGCAGGUGUUCAGGCUGAGAGCACCAUCUUCAGCUAACAUCUAACUAGAUGCAUCACAUUUUGCCAAAAGCUUGUGUUUCAUGAUGAUGUUACAGUUUCUUUAAGGGGAAGUGAGAUAUUAGAUUUGUAGAGCCUCUACUCUGCUGUCUUAUAA